ACUCAAAUGAAUUGACGGGGGCCCGCACAAGCGGAGGAGCAUGUGGUUUAAUUCGAUGAUACGCGAGGAACCUUACCUGGGCUCGAACGUAGUUGGACUAAGUGUGAAAGCAUUUAUUUCUUCGGAACUGACUACGAGGUGCUGCAUGGUUGUCGUCAGCUCGUGCCGUGAGGUGUUAGGUUAAGUCCUGCAACGAGCGCAACCCCUAUUCUUAGUUGCCAGCAUGUCAUGAUGGGGACUCUAAGAAAACUGCCUACGCAAGUAGUGAGGAAGGCGGGGAUGACGUCAAAUCAGCACGGCCCUUACGUCCAGGGCUACACACGUGCUACAAUGGCCGGUACAGAGGGCAGCUACACAGCGAUGUGAUGCGAAUCUCGAAAGCCGGUCUCAGUUCGGAUUGGAGUCUGCAACUCGACUCCAUGAAGUUGGAUUCGCUAGUAAUCGCGCAUCAGCCAUGGCGCGGUGAAUACGUUCCCGGGCCUUGUACACACCGCCCGU
rnacentral:rRNA from 1 species